UACGUAGGGUGCAAGCGUUACUCGGAAUUAUUGGGCGUAAAGCGCAUGUAGGCGGCUUUGCAAGUCUGAUGUGAAAUCCCUGGACUCAAUUCAGGAACUGCAUUGGAUACUGCAUGGCUAGAGUAUGAGAGAGGUAGGCGGAAUUCCUGGUGUAGAGGUGAAAUUCGUAGAUAUCAGGAGGAACAACAGAGGCGAAGGCGGCUUACUGGAUCAUAACUGACGCUGAGAUGCGACAGUGUGGGGAGCAAACAGG
rnacentral:rRNA from 1 species